AAUGAACGUUGGCGGCGUGGAUUAGGCAUGCAAGUCGAGCGAGAACCCCGCAAGGGGGGACAGCGGCAAACGGGGUAGUAAUGUGUCGGAACGUGCCCAGAGGACGGGGAUAGCGGCGGGAAACUGCCGGUAAUACCCGAUGAUCUCGAGAGAGCAAAGGUGUGAUUCCGCCUUUGGAGCGGCCGACAUGGUAUUAGCUAGUUGGCGGGGUAACGGCCCACCAAGGCUGUGAUGCCUAGGGGAUGUGAGAGCAUGAUCCCCACCAUUGGGACUGAGACACUGCCCAGACACCUACGGGUGGCUGCAGUCGAGAAUCUUCGUCAAUGGGCGAAAGCCUGAACGAGCGACGCCGCGUGUGGGAUGUAGGCCUUUGGGUUGUAAACCACUGUCGAGGGGGAUGAAGGCAUUCAGGUUCUCCUGAAUGUUUGACAGAGCCCUGGAGGAAGCACGGGCUAAGUUCGUGCCAGCAGCCGCGGUAAGAC
rnacentral:rRNA from 1 species